rnacentral:misc_RNA from 1 species
GAUGAAGAACGUAGCGAAAUGCGAUAAGUAAUGCGAAUUGCAGAAUCCGUGAGUCAUCGAAUCUUUGAACGCACAUUGCGCCCUUUGGUAUUCCGAAGGGCAUGCCUGUUCGAGCGUCAUUAUCACCCCUCAAGCCCCGGCUUGGUGUUGGGCUCUCGGUGGUCGUCUCCGACCACCCGUCUCAAAGAUAGUGACGGCGUCCCAGAGGGAACCGGUACGAGGAGCUUUCACGAGCAUGUACGCGGGACGACUCUGCGGGCGACGGUCUUAUUUACUUUAUAUACAAGUGUUGACCUCGGAUCAGGUAGGAAUACCCGCUGAACUUAAGCAUAUCAAUAGCGGAGGA